GUGAGGAAUAUUGGUCAAUGGGCGAGAGCCUGAACCAGCCAAGUAGCGUGAAGGAUGACUGCCCUAUGGGUUGUAAACUUCUUUUAUAAGGGAAUAAAGUGAGGGACGUGUCCCUUUUUGUAUGUACCUUAUGAAUAAGGAUCGGCUAACUCCGUGCCAGCAGCCGCGGUAAUACGGAGGAUCCAAGCGUUAUCCGGAUGUAUUGGGUUUAAAGGGAGCGUAGGUUGACAUAUAAGUCAGCUGUGAAAGUUUACGGCUCAACCGUGAAAUUGCAGUUGAUACUGUAUGUCUUGAGUGUACAAGAGGUGGGCGGAAUUCGUGGUGUAGCGGUGAAAUGCUUAGAUAUCACGAAGAACUCCAAUUGCGAAGGCAGCUCACUGGGGUACAACUGACACUGAGGCUCGAAAGUGUGGGUAUCAAACAGGAUUAGAAACCCCAGUAGUCC
rnacentral:rRNA from 1 species